rnacentral:lncRNA from 1 species
ACAGAUCCUUCCACAAGUGAAUACAUAAUUAGCAGGUCUCAAACAUAUUUAAGGUCUCAAAGAUAGGAGUUUAAAAAAAGAAUGGAUAACAGCAGUUUAGAGUUAGUGAAAUAUAGAUAAAAAUCGUUAAAGCACGAUUUUUUGAAAUUAAUGUAGAGAAGUGACUUGAAGACAUAGUAGCUUAAUGAGAUGUAGGGCGAGUAUUCAAGAUAGCACGAUUCUACGCAGAGAGUGGUAACCUAGUAGUUUGAAAACAUAAUAGAAAACGAAUUAGAAAAUCAGCGAGAGUAAAUAGGUGCACAAUUUCAAAAUUAUUUCAAGAUAGGACAGGAGUUUUAAUAAAAGUAGAGUGAACUUCAAAUAGGUAAAGCAGAAAUGGGAGCAACAGAGUUCAAAAUAUUAAAAGAGGCUAAUUGGUCUUAAACCGGUAAAACAUGAUUAAUCAAUUCUUAUUAGAACUAAAGUUUGCCUAGGCGUCGUAUGUAUUGCCUAAUUAUCUGAAAGGGUGAACAUGCAUAUCGAUUUUCAGUUUUAAGAGGGAUACGCAAACAGUUAGCCGUACUUUUAUUAUUAGAUUAAGCAUGCUAAUCAGGCAUUUAACAAUUGCAACUCAGACCAGUAUAAAACCCUAAGCAAUAGGAUGUCUAAUGCACAUAUGAAUACCUAAAACAUGAUUUCUAAAUUUUAUUGAUUAUGAGAAUGCAGAAAUAGCCUUAUUACAGUUAUUGGUGUUAUUAACUGACCAUGGUUACGAAAUAAGCAUAAUAACAGGUCGAAAGUAGAACCUAGAGCAGGAUCUCUAAUAUAUGAGAUGCAUUUCCUAUGCAGGUUAUCUAUUCCACGGAUAAGUAAAUAAAGUCCUAUAAGCAUAUUUUCUACCCAU